AUGUCCAGCGGCGGCGGCGUCCGAUCUGGGCUCAGAUGGGCUUCGGCGGGCCGUGCUUGCUGCUGGCUUGUCUUCCAUGCUCUGUCAAUGGCAAACUGCUCCUGGGCUCGACCCGCAACACGAGUACGUCGGGGGCUCCGGCCCUCGGCGUGGCGGUGGUGGUCGGCCAGCUGGUUGUGGCAUCACACAUCCAGUCCCAGCGCCAAGUGGGAGACGAUGCUGCCGGUGAAAACCGUGCUAUGA
rnacentral:rRNA from 1 species